rnacentral:SRP_RNA from 1 species
GCCAGGUGUGGUGGUGCACGCCUGUAAUCCCAGCUACUCAGGAGGCUGAGGCAGGAGAAUUGCUUGAACCCAGGAGGCAGAAGUUGCAGUGAGCCGAGAUCACGCCACUGCACUCCAGCCUGGGCGACAGAGCAAGACUCCGUCUCAA